CGUCCUCACACCAAAGACUGAUCAACAAGUUUGUCUUCCUAGCCGAUACUGAACAAAAUCUGCCAUACCUUUUCUUGGAUUAGGGACUUGAAAAAACAUGUUACUCAACAUGUCCUCACUAAGGCAAGUGGAAACGUUGGUUUUGAUUGUCUUACUUUUCUUCGCCAGUUUAUACACAGAAGCUAAACCCAUCAGAAAGAGAACCAUCAGCGAAGUUCAGCUCAUGCACAACGUCCGGGAACACAAACAAGUGGGGGACAGACAGGACUGGCUUCAGGAAAAGUUAAAGGACAUCAUAGUUGCCAGCGUUAAACCACAACAAGGACAAUCAGG